UUAAAAAAGAUCCCUCAAGCUGUUUGAGGACUGAAUCAGAAAGUCCUGAGCAAAGGAACAAAGGAAAUAAGGUUCUGUAUCAGAAGUCAGGAAACAUGCUGUGUGCUUCGGACCAUGCGUGCAACUAGUAAGACAUGAGUUUGGCUUUAUGAAGCAUCUGUAGUUCACUGUGGAAGAUGUAAGGAAAUAAUCUCCAUACUGAUUUCUGCAAUGUUUGACCUAAUUGAGAAGCUUUGGAUCUGAGAGGACUUAGAGGAAGGAGUGUGGGGAGGCAAUAUCCCUGAAUGAAGACGGAGCAGGCAGCAGCAACACAGGAACCUGCUUCCUCAAGUUAAAUCUGUGGUCUGGACGACAGCGUAAGCUAGACUCCCUUACAACUUAAGAGAGUCACAAAAGGAAAGCCUCUUGGAUCUUCAUGUUGUACCUGUUUUCUACAGAGCCAUCUCAUAACUCAUAUGAAAACAAAGCACAGGCCUCAUCACCUUGAUGUCCGUGUUAAGGCAAACAACCGGAUGUAAUGCAUCACACUGCCAGACUCCAGGCUGACAUCAAGACAACUGCUUCCAAAUUAUCUCACUUAAGCAAAAGUUGAAGGUUUUAAAAAUUCUGUGUAUAACAAAUUAAUCAGGUGACAUAGUUUAAUUUAAAGAAUAAUAGGAUAAAUUUCUGAUUAAUGCUUCUAAUGAUACUUAGGUCAAUU